UCUGAUUCGUUAAAUGCUUCUCCUAGAGUAUCCCCAAAUUCAUUAUCUAGUCGUGAUGCCAAUUCAGUUAAGGGUAAUUCAAAUCAAAUGGGCAAGAAGACUUGUUGAAGUUGAAGAUGGGGUCGUGGCUGUGCUUUCUGAAUUUCCUUCGCCUUGGAUGGGUUCUUUUUGAAAAACUUGUACUACAUUUGUCAAAAAUUGUUAAUUCUUUUUGUCUGACAUUUAGUAGCUUUAUUUAGACAAUUUGGAUGGUAUAUUGGUAGGUUAACUUGUGGUUGUAUUAGUAUACAUUUUUUCUUUUUGGUUGACAUUUACCAGCUUAACUUGUGGUUGUAUUAGUAGCCAAUUUUGAUGGUAAUUUUCAUAUUGGCAGGGUUAACUUGUGGUUGUAUUAUGUAAAAAUAAUUUGGAUGGUAUUUUUAUA